CCUACGGGGGGCAGCAGUGAGGAAUAUUGGUCAAUGGGCGAGAGCCUGAACCAGCCAAGUAGCGUGAAGGAUGACUGCCCUAUGGGUUGUAAACUUCUUUUAUAAAGGAAUAAAAUGAGGCACGUGUGCCUUUUUGUAUGUACUUUAUGAAUAAGGAUCGGCUAACUCCGUGCCAGCAGCCGCGGUAAUACGGAGGAUCCGAGCGUUAUCCGGAUUUAUUGGGUUUAAAGGGAGCGUAGGGGGGUUUUUAAGUCAGUUGUGAAAGUUUGCGGCUCAACCGUAGAAUUGCCGUUGAAACUGGCAGGCUUGAGUACAGUUGAGGCAGGCGGAAUGCGUGGUGUAGCGGUGAAAUGCUUAGAUAUCACGAAGAACACCGAUUGCGAAGGCAGCUUACUAAGCUGUGACUGACGCUGAUGCUCGAAAGUGUGGGGAUCAAACAGGAUUAGAUACCCGAGUAGUC
rnacentral:rRNA from 1 species